AUGAAGAUCACCUGCCGGCGCAUCACGCCCAACUUAUGCGUGGUCGUAUCGGAGGAUAAUGUGCCCAUCGAGUACGUUGAUGUGCCGGCUCCGAACUGGCCGGAGCACUUCCGCGACCUGCUGCUGAGCGAGCUGGGCGCGGACGUGAGGUUCCGGGUGGGCGGCGAGACCUUCCCGGCGCACCGCUGCGUGCUCGCGGCGCGGUCGCCCGUCCUCAAGGCCCUGCUCUUCGGCCGCGGCGCCGUCGGCGAGGCUUCUCCCGACGUGCACGUCGUGGACGGCGUGAGGGCCGACGUCUUCCGCCAGCUGCUACAUUUCAUAUACACCGACUCGUUGCCGUCGUCGGCCGAGGAGCAGGGCGAAAACGAGGAGGCCGCCAUGGCUCGGCAUCUGCUGGAAGCCGCUGACAGGUAUGGGCUCGAGAGGCUCAGGCUCAUGUGCGAGAAGACGUUGUGCGGCCACAUCGAUGCGACUACGGUGGUGGCUACCCUGACGUGGGCGGAUCGCCACCGCUGCCACGGCCUCAAGAUGGCGUGCUUCGGGUUUGUGAAGUCACUGGUGAGAACGGGCGCGGUCAGGGCGAUAGAGGGUUUGGAAGACUUCAUGAGAGGCCACCCAUCGUUAAUGAUAGAGCUGCUGCACAGGAUUGCCAAUCUGCCAGUUCCUGGCGAAGUAGACCAUCAAGAGAUGGAUGAUGAAUUAGCGGAUGAUGAACUGUAA
rnacentral:rRNA from 1 species